GCUUUUAUGUCGUGUCUGUGAAAGGUCUUGACCAUGCCUAUUUUGAGAUUUGGAAGCGGGUUACUGGCCAGCAGAUGUGUUUCAGAGAUGCUCUGCAGGAAGUUUGCAAUGAGAAUUUGGUUCCAUCGCGCCAACACACUUUGAAGGCCGAGCUGCAGCGACCUGGAGGCUUUUUGCAACUGGAGCGACAAUUUCACCGGUGCACAGAGGGCAUUAGUAAGGAAGU